rnacentral:rRNA from 1 species
GACGAACGCUGGCGGCGUGCUUAACACAUGCAAGUCGAACGGAAAGGCCCUGCUUUUGUGGGGUGCUCGAGUGGCGAAAGGGUGAGUAACACGUGAGUAACCUGCCCUUGACUUUGGGAUAACUUCAGGAAACUGGGGCUAAUACCGGAUAGGAGCUCCUGCUGCAUGGUGGGGGUUGGCAAGUUUCGGCGGUUGGGGAUGGACUCGCGGCUUAUCAGCUUGUUGGUGGGGUAGUGGCUUACCAAGGCUUUGACGGGUAGCCGGCCUGAGAGGGUGACCGGCCACAUUGGGACUGAGAUACGGCCCAGACUCCUACGGGAGGCUGCAGUGGGGAAUAUUGCACAAUGGGCGGAAGCCUGAUGCAGCAACGCCGCGUGCGAGAUGACGGCCUUCGGGUUGUAAACCGCUUUCGCCUGUGACGAAGCGUGAGUGACGGUAAUGGGUAAAGAAGCACCGGCUAACUACGUG